rnacentral:lncRNA from 1 species
AGGCAUUAGAUUUGCUGUAUAAAUCCCAUCGCUGCUUUACACAACAUACUGAAUGGGAAAAAAAUGAAAAAGAACUUGGAGCAGUUAUUAGAGUCACCAGAAUGAUGAUUAAAGCUACAAAAGAUGUUACCAUGUCAACAGAGUUAAAAGGAAGAGCAGUAACAUUGUGUACAACUUCAAAAAUGUGUGUUACAAAUCUCAUUAUAAGAUUAAAGAAAGCAUUUACUGACAUUGACAAUCAGAUAUUUCCAUCAGUUAAACCGUUCAUUGUGGAAUUAGAAGAACAUGUAAAUGAGUUACAGGAGCUUCUGCUUCAAUUUUGAAAAUCGACCAUCAUUGUUAAAAUUUUUGGAGGAUAAAUUUUGAUUGAAACAUUAAUAA